CAACAUUGAUGUUUCAAUAUUCAGUUUGCAUACUCGUCAACACUCGAGUAAUAGAAACAAACGAGACUAGAGAACUUAGCUUUAUAAAUAAGACCGGCUGCCUUUUCGGUUGAGCCAAGACGACGACGAUGACGGCGGCAGCUCUUACUGCCUCGGCAGAAAUCGGGUGACAGCAGCAGCAGCAGCAGUAGUGUCGCGAAUAGAGCAACGACGCUGAAUCGCCGGCCUUCCACAGACGGUGGAGAUAACGGCAGAACCAUGGUGGCGGAGGUGCAACGGAAUCAGGGCUCGACUCCCUGCCUACUUUGACAUCUGAAUCGGGACCGGAGCGACUCAGUGGAGGAGGCGAGACGACGCCGGCUUCGCCGAUUGACGGCCAGGGAACCACGGCGGCGGCGAUAGUAUAGGCCGAGAUUAGGGCUCAGAUCUUGGGGCGACCUCCCCUGAAGCUGAAAGACAGCAGCAGCGGCUCGGUGCACGGCGGCGGUGGCGAUUCCAGACGGAGCAACGCUGGCUUGAGGCGACAACGUCGCCGAAGAUUUCAGGAGCGGCGGCGGCGAUUUCCGAUUUGGGAGAAUUAGGGCUCCUCAUUUGGGGAUCCCCCAUUAAAUUGAGGAAAGAGGGAGGACGAACGAAGGCGGCGGCCCCAGAGACGCAGACGACGGCCGUUCGCCGGACACCC
rnacentral:lncRNA from 1 species